rnacentral:misc_RNA from 1 species
GUAAGGGCAUGAUUGAUGAGAAUGAGAAGUUUGGCGGACGCUUUUAUAAAUAUGGGAAAGUGUAGGGGGGUGUGACCACUGAGACACACUGAUCUCUCCUCCUGCCAGAGGUCACUAUGUUCCUAAUGCUCUUUAGGGGGGUGUGGGUAGUCACCCCCCUGGGGGGGCCAGCAAGGCCGGGCCUGGGGAUGCCUCCAGGCCAUAUGUGGGCAUCGGUUUAGCAUGGAAAUUAGCUUGUUAGCCCCCUCUCCACCUCUACCCCGUCGGUUGGAAGUCGGAAAAAAUCGGAAAAAAAUCCCGUGCGUGGUGGGCCCGGCCCGCCAUGGCUCGGGCCCGUUCGCAGCAAUUGUGGGAAAUGAAUCGGUGGUUGAAUCCUAUAUAAAAGUGUGUCGAAUGGAUGCUAGUGCAUGGUGCGAGCAUGGCAUUUGCGUGCUGUGCUUGUGCCGACGUGCGAGCAGACAUGCGUUGCACUGGGCAUGGGAGCUUCGGUUGGCCAACGUUUGCAAACUAACUCCUUGGGCUAGACUCGAAUCACGACGAUGAACCCAGUGCUAUUGGGGCCGAUCUCCAUGCUUGCGUGUGUCAAUUGGAUGCUGGUGCAAGGUGUGGGCGUGGCAUUUCUGUGCUAUUCCUGUGCUGGCGUGCCGGCGGAUAGGCGAUGCACUGGGCAUGGUGUGAGUUCUCGGUGGCAUAGGCUUUUGAGGACUUUGGGUCUGGUGGUAGAGCCGACUUUAUUGGGGUCGAUCUCCUUGCUCUCGAGGGUGUUAAGUGAAAGUCGGUACAAGGUGUGGGCAUGGUGCUUACGUGCUGUGCUUGUGUCGAGUGCGGGCGGACAUGCAACGCCAUCGGGCAUGGGGUGAGCUCCUGAUGGGGAAGGCUUGCAGGGAGUUGGGAUGCUACAUUACUCGGGGUCGUGGAUGGACGUCGGGGCUGUUGCGAUCGUGCAUUGCUCAGGUUGUGGGAAUGAGCUGGCCCGGUGCUUCCGCAAGUGUUGAGGCAUUACAAGUGUUGGGAGAGGGCGUGGCGUUACGAUGCCGUGCUUGAUCCUAUGCGCGAACGAUGUCGAGGCAUGAGUUGUGGCAUUGAGUGGUAGGCGCUUUCCUUCGAUUGCGGUGGUGCAUUGUUGCUUGCGUCGAUGUGUCCCUUUGUGAUCGUUGCCUUUGCUUAGGUUGAGGGGACGAGCCUGGUGCCUUUACUUUGCUGAAGUUGUGCGAAUGUUGAGGUGAGGGCGUGGCGUUUCAUGCCACAUGUGCUCGAGCCGAUGCAUGAGCUCGCGGAGGCAUGUGUUGAGAACAUUGUACGGCGAGUUUCUUCGGCUGCGGUGAUUGCACUGUUACAAAGCCCCAUUCUUUCCCUUCCCGGUGCUUGCAUUUGCUACUAAGGUUGCGGGGAUGAGCCUGGUGCCAGAUGUUUUGUUGAGGCGACGCGAGUGCUUGGUGAGGGUGCGGCGUUCGGCGCUGUGCUCAAUCCGAUGUGCGAGCUGCUGAGGCAAGGCUGAGGCACUGUAUGGGGAAUCCUCGUGGCCGAGGUCACUGCUUUACGUCCAGAAUCAGACGGGUCCCUUCGUGUUGCUUGUAUUUCACUGUUCGCUUCGUCCCUCCUCGGAUUUGUUUCGCGCCAAGCGGUGUGAGUAGCGGUUCCAUUCGGCGUUUUGACUUCCCAUCGUGCUUCUGCUCGUCGGGGGGGCAAUUCGUUGGGUGGGAUCACUGCUCAACGUACGUGGCGGCGCAUGAGCGGUUGUUUGGUCGUUUGGGUUGGCAGGCUCUUUGCUCGAGCAUUGAACUGUUGGCUCUCGAUCCCCUUCAGUUGUUGCCCGAGAGCGGAAUGUGCCUCGGUGACAUGAUUCGGUUCCUGUGUUGCAUACCCACGAAAGCGGAAUUCGAAAGCUAUGCUGUCCCGUUUUCGCUUUGCGCCUUGUUUAGGGUGCGAGGUGAACCCCGUAGCGGCAUCCGUGCUCCAAGCAUGCCUCACUGGCUGCCGUGGCCCACGGAAUGUCGCUGUGCUCUCGGAUGCGGAAUGUGAUGCGGGCGGAGGGGUGGCAACUCCCUCCAUCAGCCCAAACGUCCAAUCGGUAACGGAACGACCGACGUGCCUGUCUCGAGGCCUCGGCUCGCCGGGGCUUCGUGCGGGCGACGCCGUCGCGAAGGAAUGCUACCUGGUUGAUCCUGCCAGUAGUCAUAUGCUUGUCUCAAAGAUUAAGCCAUGCAUGUGUAAGUAUGAACUAAUUCAGACUGUGAAACUGCGAAUGGCUCAUUAAAUCAGUUAUAGUUUGUUUGAUGGUAUCUGCUACUCGGAUAACCGUAGUAAUUCUAGAGCUAAUACGUGCAACAAACCCCGACUUCUGGAAGGGAUGCAUUUAUUAGAUAAAAGGUCGACGCGGGCUCUGCCCGUUGCUCUGAUGAUUCAUGAUAACUCGACGGAUCGCACGGCCAUCGUGCCGGCGACGCAUCAUUCAAAUUUCUGCCCUAUCAACUUUCGAUGGUAGG